GUUAGUGAUGGAUGGUUAAGUGCUUAUGAUUCGACCUCCCUACAGGAUGUCUGUCUUCUGUUUAGAUCGCACUUAUAAACGGAAAAAGGUUGGUCAGUUAUUGCUUCCUUUCCAAAUGUCUUCAGGGAAUUUUGUGCCUUUAUGUAAGACCAGAAGGGUGUGUUUAUGAAGUUAUAGCAUGCACUUCUCUAUCUACAAGGCAAUGCAAGCAAAAGCAGGCAGCCAUCAGCUUUCCUUUUGAAGCUUCUGAAUCAUUUUUCGUUCCUGUCAUCAUGUUUGCUUCAUCAUGCUAUCGUUUUGUUCGCAAAUGGUAGAACGGAUGAUUCUUUUUUCCUUUUUAUGCAUCUUCUAUAUUCUUGCUUAUCCAUCUGAGAAUAGAUGAUGUUUAGCGGUGUUCUGAUGCGAUGUGUUUGUAUUGUGUGUGUAAUUUGAUGAGCAUGAGGGGGUGUUGAGCUGAUAGAUCGAGUUGCUUGGGAACUGACAUUUAAUUGAUCUCUGCUUUUAGAAUAAUAGACUAUGUAGCUAUGUCAACAUGUAGUGCUUCUACAUAAUAUUGUUUGUUGUAAUCUUCAUAUUUUUCUUCAUUGUAACAGACAUUGUAUCAGAAUCUCGUG
rnacentral:lncRNA from 1 species